rnacentral:misc_RNA from 1 species
UAAUAAGUGUUUUAUGGCACUUUUUAAAUCCAUAUCCACCUCGUGUGCAAUGUCAGUCGAUCUUCUUCAUGGAGAUCGAGCAAACAUCAACCAUUAUCUUUUAACUCUUUGUCUGAAAAAUAUUAUGAAUAAACAAUUCAAAAUA